UAUUACAAGUAAAACCUACCUAAGACUCAGGUGGCCUUGUCCUUAAUAUCCUGCCGAGGCUAGAUGCUGAUAAAUCAGGCAUUGCGUCGGUGACGCAGUGCCUUUUAAUUUAGGUG
rfam:Lactobacillus mellifer strain Bin4 genomic scaffold Bin4_scaffold1, whole genome shotgun sequence.